UGAAGCAAAUGGAUAUUUCCAAGUACUCUAAAUUGCAAAAAUUAAAGCAUAUUGAUACUUUCAAAUUAUUCUCCUUUAUUUAAAUUCACUGUAGCACUGGAAAUUGAUUACAAGACUUCCAGAUAUGCCCAGGAAGGGAUGGCAUUGAGACUGAAGGAAGCCACAACCUGCUCUCAUAGUCUACAUGCUCAGGCGAGAGUAGAGAACUGUACCUGCAUGCCCAGCUGACAAUCUUUUUCCUGCGUCUUCUACCUCCCAAAAGAACAAAUUCACUCCUUUGGAUUGAAGCACCAAUGAACUGUGAGUUUCACGGUAUCAUUUAGCAUGCAUGUUUCAGGCCACAGACAUAUAUGUUUUAGCAGUCGGUAUUGACGAGUUACAAAUCACUAGUUCAAAAAAAUGUGGCUCCUGAUCAGAUCAUUGUAAAUUUUCUCCAUCCCUGGCUUUGAGGAAAAACAAGAAAACAAGCCACAGACCCACGGCUUCAAAGUGUUAUUCACCACCAUUAUCUGCAGCUUGGACUGCACCCCAAGGAGCUGUGAGAUGGGCCAGGAGGAGACCUGAUCCAAGGACUCCACAUACACCACUAGCUAUGUAUUCAUGAAGCUUUACCUUGUUUCUAUGAUAGGAUUUGGCCCAGUGUUAAUUUCUCUAUAAUAUUCCUUUGUAUUUUGAAAAUCAUAAAUAAUCAUUUGUAUCACACAAAAGAUAUCCUGAAAUACAGGAGUGCGGGGCAAAUAUAAACUUUCUAUUAGCUUUUUUAAUUAGAAGAAACUGUAGCCUAAGAGCUGCAAACAUUAAUGGUUGGGCAAAACUGCCUGUUCGAGAAUCACCCUGGCCAACUGUUUCUUAUUCUCUCUGAGCCUCGGUUUUCUUAUUAGAAAUUUCAGAAUUAAUCUCUGCUUUAUCUAUUAUUACAACACUAAAGCUUUUAGCGCACUGCCUGCUGCAUGCUCAGCUCUCGGGAAAGAGGACCUGCUAACGUCUUUUAAGACUUUUCAAAAGCUUUCAUUCUGUUACCUUAGCUUUUUACCGUAUUAUUUUCUUUAACACUCACCAUUAGUGCCAAAGAUAAUAAUUAGCCACUGAUGACAGUUGUAAUGCAAACAAUAAAAAUGACCUCAUAAUAGUUCUAAUGGGAGGAGUUUCCGUUCUGAGUGGCUUAGACACUACUGUUAGUGGAAAGUUUUACCCCUCUCCAGGCCAAGGAGCAGAGAAAAAGAAUCUGAUGCUUGUGUUAAAAAAAAAACCUGCUUCUCAAUAACUAAUUUGCUUCAUAUUUUAUAUUUUAUUACUUUGAACAACUUUACUUGUAAUAAUGCUUCCUCCAAGUAUUCAAUUCAAUGACUAUUGCAAGAUAUAAUUUAAUCGUAGCAUAAGACUCUUAUUUUAGUUCACUUCAUAACAAGAUAGGAAACCAAUUAACCCAACUAAUUUAGUAACAAAUUUAUUAUAAUAAAAAUAGGAAUUGGUAUGAAUCAUAGAUUAUCCAAAAUCAUUUUUAAGGAAAUAAAUAUAUAUGUGUGUGUGCGUGUGUGUGUGUUAAUGUCAACUGGGAGUAGAAAUGAACUAGACAACUGAUUCCAGGGUUAGAGAUUAUAGCCAGAGUUCUACUUUAAUGGAAUUUUUUAUUAGUAUGGGAAAAGAAUAUAGAAUUUUUAACCCAGAGAAAUAACCACUCUGACACUUAGGCCCAAAAGGCUAAAGAGGACUAUCCUUAUAUCAACCAAACAUGGUGACCUCAUUAUGCCUGUCGUCAGCGUAAUCCUUAGCCAUUAGCUGAGAUAUAGAUUUUUGUACAUGAGGGUAUUGUUCUCCCUAUGAAAGAAGUGCCUUUAGAAACAUUUCCGAUAAUUUAUUGUAAAAGCGUCUUGGUGUAGCUGUGGGGUAGUGGUAAUAGUGUGGAGGUAGGGAGAAAGCUAUUUUUAAGACUCUAAAAUGACUUUUUGAUGCUGAGUAUAAAAUAGCCUGAUUUGAACUUGGGAAUUCCUGGAGCGUUUCUUCUUGAAACGGAAUGAACUCUUCUCUUGAGGAGUUGUGUAGAUGAAUGAAAAGAUCAUGGUAGUUGUUGGCUGUGGUGAAGACGCCAUGUGUACUUACACAAGGCAUUGUGUGUAGGCUGUAUAUACACAUGUGCCAAUGUCCAUGGAUGCAUGUUUACACAGUAUAUGUCUGUAUUUUGGCAAAGCGUGCAUGCUGUGAAGCACCAUCUAGAUGUACCCUUCAUGUUUCACAUACAUCCCACACAUUAGUUCUCUCUAAUGGUAGCCCUCAUAAAGAGGAAGGUGGCUCAGUAAAAUUACAUGCAUCAUUGGGCCAGCGCACCCAGUGCCUGUGCAAGAACAUGGUGAAAUGGCAGUCCCCUUUGCCUUGGUUGAGAGCGCUGAAGGAUUAUUUCAGCUGCCUGUGAUGGAAGCUGAGGUCUCUCUCACAUCUGUGCUUCUUUUCUUCCUCCCUCAUGAUGCUCUGGACAGUAUGCCCCAGUCAACUUCCCUAGAAGCUAUUCUCAGAGUCUGUUACUCAAGAGACUCAGACUGAGACACUGAGCACACAUUAUUUAAUAUCACUCUAGGAAACGGUUAAUUUACACAUUUAUAAAUGUUGAAGGGAGAUGGGAGUCAGAAGGAUUCUUGAAUUAGUCAAACAGCCCAUUCAUACAUAAGUCAGAAAAUAGAAGGGAGGAUGGUACUUUAUUAUUUUGCCAUCCUGCUACCUUGUGUGUCUUCUAUUAGCACAGAUACACACAGGAUUAUGUAAACUAUAGAAAGGACUUUCAAUCCAGCUUUGCCCAUCAUAUCUUUAACCAUCUCCACGCCAUGGCCUGUUGAAGGCUGUAGUGUGGGGACUGAAUGGCACUUGGAAAGUGAACAUUAAAGUUCACUAAGUUUAACAUUAAGUUAAAAUUAAAAAUAGGAAGAGAAUGUGACGUAAGGCUGGAUAGAUGAGGUGAGAGAACUGUAUCUUCCCAACACAGUGAUGGACGGAACGUGGCACUUUAGAUCAUCAGCAGAGACAUCCAGCAAGAUAUAAUCAGAACACAUCAAUCAUUGAAAUUACGUUGAGCGUGUGCAUAAUUUAGAGACAAAGUACAUAGAAAGUUGAUAUCAAAGAUCCCAAACAGCAAUAAAGCCAUGAAACUGAGGUCCAGAGCUGAACUCCAGCAUGGUAGCCAUGAAAAGGGCUUGACAUUAACUUGGAGACUAAGUAUCUAAAAAUAUAUACUUAACUCUCAGUACUUAACUCUCAGUACUUAAUUCUCCUUUGGCUCCUCAAUAUAAUUUUCCAGAAGUUCCUCAAUAUAUCUUCAUCAAAGUAAUAAUCUCCGUUUAAAUAAUGCUGACAACUAAUAAUUUGUGGAGAAUAUUUUAAUGAUAAGAAAUUUGUUUCUCCUAAUCCAACUUCUCAGAGACUAAAACCUGGGCAUAACCUGGCAGUUUAGUCUUCAACAAGACGUGGUUUGGUUGCCCCAACCCAUGAGCAGAUGUAAAUAACAAUACCAAAUCUGUGUUUAAUGAAUUUCUUCUGUCAGGAUUUGACUGACCGGUUAACUGAUUGAUUGGCUGAUUGGUUGAUUGAUUAAUUGCCUAAUUGAAGUAGGGUUAAAUCCAGGGAUGAGGAUGAGAUGAAUCCCCCCUAACAAAAAUAACCUAGAACAGUGGCAGCCCAUACAGGCAAGUCCUAGGAUACAGUGAGCAACUGUCAAGUGUUAAGAUAGGCUGUGUGGUGGUUGCAGGGAUGGUCAGUGUUAAGAGCACCAGCUGAUCUCCCAGCGGACCCAAGUUCUCAACACCCACAAGGUAUCUCAGAACUGUCUGCAACUCCAAUUGCAAGGAAACUGAUUUCUUCUGGCCUCUGAAUGCACCAGGCACUACCAUGAUAUGUUAACAUACAGGUAGGCAAAAUAGUAUACACAUAAAAACAAUAAUAAUGUUUAACUAAAAGAAAAACCGGGGGGUUGGGGAUUUAGCUCAGUGGUAGAGUGCUUGCCUAGCAAGCGCAAGGCCCUGGGUUCGGUCCCCAGCUCCGAAAAAAAAAUGUGCUGUUCAGUGAACAUUUACAUCUCUCCAAAUUUGUAUGUUGAAAUCUAAUCACCGAUGUGACAUUAUUAGAACAUGGAGACUUUGGAUGUGAUUCAAAAACGGGUUCGUGUCCUCACGAAUGACAUCCUGUGAGCUCCCUUUCAUCCUUCUAUCAUGUGAGGAAAGGAUAAGACUAGUCUGUAAGUCAGAGUCCCUCAACAUACACAUAUGCAGUCACAUUGGCCUCGAAUUUCCCAGACUCCAGAAACAUGAGAAAUAAAUAUCUUUGUUCAGAAACACCCAAGCUACAAUAUUUUGUUAGAGCAGCUGAAAUGGGCCAAGUCAAGGAUCUCGUGGCUACUAUUUCAAAAGAGAAACAAAACCACCCCUGCAGAAGAACUUUCCAGAAGAAGCCUUCUAGAAAUAGGCAAGUUGCUUACAGAAAGGAACGCAAAUACAUAUCUCACUUACUCUCUGUGAAAAAGAUCUUUGCUCACUAGUAUACAGUGUAGGCACAUUCUGUCACACAUGAGCCUGAAGGCAUCGCUCCAGAUUUGGAGUGUGUUCUCUCAGUGUACCCACCAGCCUCGAGAGAUUUCAACUCAUUGGGUUUUUCACCCCCUGUAGUUCUGACAAAGCCAAAAUAUUCUUUCAAACUUAAUCUGCUAUGGCCUAGUUAUAUCUCAAAAGAUUGACUCAGACAUUGGGAAAUGUAUCUUAAAUGUGUUGAAUAACUUACAUAGCUGGAUCGUAUAUUACCUGAAGAACGUCCUUACUUGUAGACACAGACCAUUGAAGCUGUGCUUUAUAGAAGUAGACAUCUUGCCAAAAAGGCUUCAGAGCCAGGGCAGAAACAGAGGCCUCUGUACCCCUAGAUUAAUUCUCUUGCAUGAUUCCAUAGAACCUCUCUGAAUUUAUGAUACCAACACAGAAUCAAAUGUCCUAUCCUCAACAAUGUUAAUUAAAGGAACAGCCUGUGGUGAGCAAAGCUUACCUGAGGCGGGACAGUUUCUGCCAUCUAGUGGUUUGCUAGGCCAACUUAUGUAAGGUUAUCUUUUGGGGUUCAAGCUCUAAACUACAAAAUAAAGAGCUAAUUGUAGACAUCUUUCCAGGUAUUAAAAAAAAAUCUAGGGCUGGAGAAAUGGCUCAGUGGUUAAGAGCACCGACUGCUCUUCCCAAGGUCCUGAGUUCAAAUCCCAGCAACCACGUGGUGGCUCACAACCAUCUGUAAUGAGAUUUGAUGCCCUCUUCUGGUGUGUCUGAAGACAGCUACAGUGUACUCAUAUAUAAUAAAUAAAUAAAAUAUUAAAAAAAAUCUAACAAA